rnacentral:sRNA from 1 species
GCAUCGAUGAGAACGCAGCGAAAUGCGAUACUUGGUGUGAAUUGCAGAAUCCCGUGAACCAUCGAGUCUUUGNACGCAAGUUGCGCCCCAAGCUGUUAGGCUGAGGGCACGUCUGCCUGGGUGUCACGCAUCAUUGCCCCACCCUCACCCCUCUGGGGCCAGGCGGUGUAGGCGGAGAAUGGCCUCCCAUGAGCAACCACUCGUGGUUGGCCCAAAAAUGAGUCCUCGGCGACCAGAGCCGCGACGAUCGGUGGUGCAAACUUGCCUCUCGAGCUCACGUCGUGUGCCCAUGUCUUCGGUCAGAGACUCAAGGACCCUGACGCCCUGCGAAAGCGGAGCUCGCAUCGCGACCCCAGGUCAGGCGGGAUUACCCGCUGAGUUUAGC